CGUGUGACGUCAUAGAGAGGCGGGGCUUUGGCGCCAGAGGGCUGCCCCUCGGCCGGUGACCGAGUUAAGCACCGAGCUGUAAAUCGCUUGAGACCUGUAUUUGGUUGUUUUGUUGGUUUUGCCAAGUAAGGUCACUUGAGGAUUUCUUGGCUCGAGGUCCCAGGUUGCGCAGACUCUGACUGCAUCGAGUUGAGAAUUUUGGUCAGAAUGUUAAAGUGGAAACCUACCCCAGGCUGUCAUGAGAUGGGGUCCCACUAUAUUGACCAGGCUGGUCUGUAACUCCGGGCCUCAAGGGAUCUUCCCAACUCCACCUCUCAAAGUGCUGGAUUACAGCCUGAGCCACUGGACCUGGCUACUGUCCAUUCUUUGAUGAAGACAAAGUUUACCCUGAAAUCCUGUUCAGGGAGGUGGCCACUCCUGACUGCUCCAGAGAGGAGCUCCCAUGAGCAGAAGGACUGUGGCAGCUGCUGUACUCAGUGCUACCAAGCAGAGAGUUAUGGAGGCUCCAGGCUGACACCUCCACUGUCAGAACCCCUACAUCAGUGCUCCCCAAAGUAUUUCUCACUCCAUGAGAUUUUACUAAGUGUUCUUGGGAGGGAAGAUGGAGAGUUGGUUCUGUGAUAAAAUAAGUCAAGGAAAUGUUGGUUGAGACAACUUCUCAGAGCCUCUGACAUGCUAUAUUGUGUUAUGUGUGUGAAAUGUUUAGGGUGUGGUAGGGGGAACACAAUGUGGUAUUUUCCUGCCAUAUUUAACCCCAGAACCAUUUUUUCCAAUAAUCCCUGGAAAUCUGCAGAACACAGUUUAGGGAAUGC
rnacentral:lncRNA from 1 species